rnacentral:rRNA from 1 species
AGUUCCAAUAGCGUAUAUUAAAGUUGUUGCAGUGAAAAAGCUUGUAGUUGAACUUCUGGCCUGGAUGGCUCGGUCUGAUGCUUAUGCGUGAAUACCUGAGCCAUCCGACCAUCCUUGGGUGGAACCUGUGUGGCAUUAAAUUGUCGUGUAGGGGAUGCCCAUCUUUUACUGUGAAAAAACUAGAGUGUUCAAAGUAGGCUUAUGCCUUUGAAUAUAUUAGCAUGGAAUAAUGAUAUAGGACUUUGGUACUAUUUUGUUGGUUUGUGCACUAAAGUAGUGAUUAAUAGGGACAGUUGGGGAUAUUAUUAUUUUUAGGUCAGAGGUGAAAUUCUUGGAUUCUUUAAAGAAUAACUACUGCAAAAGCAUUUAUCAAGGAUGUUUUCA